AGUGGGAUAGCUGGGUCAUAUGGAAGUUCCAUCCCUAAUUUUUUGAGGAAUCUCCAAACUGCUUUCCAGAGUGGUUGUACUGGUCUGCAGUCCCACCAACAGU
rnacentral:pre_miRNA from 1 species